rnacentral:rRNA from 1 species
GACUGUGAUACGGCCCAGACUCCUACGGGAGGCAGCAGUAGGGAAUCUUCCGCAAUGGACGAAAGUCUGACGGAGCAACGCCGCGUGAGUGAUGAAGGCUCUCGGGUCGUAAAACUCUGUUGUUAGGGAAGAACAAGUGCUAGUUGAAUAAGCUGGCACCUUGACGGUACCUCCAGAAAGCCACGGCUAACUACGUGCCAGCAGCCGCGGUAAUACGUAGGUGGCAAGCGUUAUCCGGAAUUAUUGGGCGUAAAGCGCGCGCAGGUGGUUUCUUAAGUCUGAUGUGAAAGCCCACGGCUCAACCGUGGAGGGUCAUUGGAAACUGGGAGACUUGAGUGCAGAAGAGGAAAGUGGAAUUCCAUGUGUAGCGGUGAAAUGCGUAGAGAUAUGGAGGAACACCAGUGGCGAAGGCGACUUUCUGGUCUGUAACUGACACUGAGGCGCGAAAGCGUGGGGAGCAAACAGGAUUAGAUACCCUGGUAGUCCACGCCGUAA